CAGGCUGCAACUCGCCUGCAUGAAGUUGGAAUUGCUAGUAAUCGCGAAUCNGAAUGUCGCGGUGAAUACGUUCCCGGGCCUUGUACACACCGCCCGUCACACCAUGAGAGUCGAUAACACCCGAAGCCUGUGAGCUAACCGCAAGGGGGCAGCAGUCGAAGGUGGGGUUGAUGAUUGGGGUGAAGUCGUAACAAGGUACC
rnacentral:rRNA from 1 species